UGAUGAGAGAGAAUCAUUGAUCAGCUGCCUCCUGCACGUCCCCUGCUGGGGAUCAAACCCAAAACCCGAGCAUGUGGCCUAACCUAUUCUCAAACCAUGACCUCCUGGUUCAUAGGUCAACACUCAACCACUGAGCAACACCGACCAGGCAAAACAGAACUGGUCUUGCUGACUAAGAAAGUAUCAAUACAAGUUGCAAACUCACCUCCCUGAGUGCUUUCACUGGAGCCCUGGAGACACUCCCAAAUCUUCCCUUAUUUUAUGAGAUCACCACUUACCCACCUUCUGGAGAGGAUCUUUGUCUGCUUGUUUUCUGUACCUCUCUGGAUAGGUUUGGAGAGCUUCUGGGUUGGUGAACAUACGGAGGUGCUAGGAGAGUGAACAUAGAAGCUCCGUGUCCUUUCUUCAGACCUUUCCCUCUGCAUCUCUUCCACCUGGCUGUUCCUGAGUUAUAUCCUUGUAUAAUAAACUGGUAACCUAGUAAGUCCGUAAAAUGUUUCUGAGUUCUGUGAGCCACUCUAACAAAUUAAUGGGACCCUGGGAGGGGGUUGUUGGAACCUCCAAUCUGUAGCCAGUCAGUCAGAAGCACAGGUGACAACAUGGACUUGUGAUUGACAUAAGAAGUGUGUGUUUGGGGGGGGGGGGAUGGGGAUGAGGGUUGGAAAGGGAAGUCUUGUUGGACUGAGCCCUUAACUGGUGUGAUCUGAAGCUAUCCCAAGGUAGACAGUGUCAGAAUUGUAGGACACCCAGCUGGUGUUGGAGAAUUGCUUGGGGAUGUGAAAGAAAAUACAUAUGCAACUGGUAUCAGAAUGGUAGAACGUCAUUGAAAGUUGAUACAGAAGAAAAAGAUAGUAAAUAAAUAAAUAAA